GUGGGGAAUCUUGCGCAAUGGGCGAAAGCCUGACGCAGCCAUGCCGCGUGAAUGAUGAAGGUCUUAGGAUUGUAAAAUUCUUUCACCGGGGACGAUAAUGACGGUACCCGGAGAAGAAGCCCCGGCUAACUUCGUGCCAGCAGCCGCGGUAAUACGAAGGGGGCUAGCGUUGCUCGGAAUUACUGGGCGUAAAGGGCGCGUAGGCGGACAGUUUAGUCAGAGGUGAAAGCCCAUGGCUCAACCUUGGAAUUGCCUUUGAUACUGGCUGUCUUGAGUACGGGAGAGGUGAGUGGAACUCCGAGUGUAGAGGUGAAAUUCGUAGAUAUUCGGAAGAACACCAGUGGCGAAGGCGACUCACUGGCCCAAUACUGACGCUGAGGCGCGAAAGCGUGGGGAGCAAACAGGAUUAGAAACCCCUGUAGUCC
rnacentral:rRNA from 1 species